AACGCACCUUGCGCUCCUUGGUAUUCCGAGGAGCAUGCCUGUUUGAGUGUCAUUAAUAUAUAUAUCAACCUUCUCUUGUUGAAUGGUUUGGAUGUGGGGGUUUGCUGGCCUCUUAAAAGGAUUCAGCUCUCCUGAAAUGCAUUAGCAGAACAAAACCUGUUCAUUGGUGUGAUAACUAUCUACGCUAUUGAAUGUGAGGUGGCAGUUCAGCUUUCUAACAGUCCCUUGGGACAACUCAUCAUUAAUGUGACCUCAAAUCAGGUAGGACUACCCGCUGAACUUAA
rnacentral:misc_RNA from 1 species